AACGCACAUUGCGCCCGCUGGCAUUCCGGCGGGCACGCCUGUUCGAGCGUAAUAUCAAACCGUAUCAAGCCUGUUCUUGAAUGGGCCUGGUUAUGGGUUUACCCGUCUUGCGAUGGGGACCCCAAAUGCAUCGUCGGUAAAGGGUUGUGAAGAUUGGUUUUGGAACAUUACCUACCUUUUUAACGACCGCUUACCCGACACGGUUAACUGGAGUUGGUUAAGACUCCUUGUUCAUUUACCUCGGAUCAGGUGGGGAUACCCGCUGAACUUAA
rnacentral:misc_RNA from 1 species